CGGAGACGUGCCUGGUUUCCGAGCGCUGUGCCUGUCCCCACUCGCUGCUCCAGCGGAGUGACGCAGGUUCAAAUCCCAGCCCCGCCAGAUCCUCUCCGAGUCUUCUCAGACCUGUUUUCUGCUACUGCCUCCUCCAGCGCACACCGCUUCCUUUGUCAGACAGCAAGCCACAGAAUAGCUUGUUUCUGCUGCUCAGAAAACUUCGCCUUGGAAAGUUGCUGCGAGGAGAAAAGAAGAUCGGCGCUGGGCUCCCUGCAGUGGCAUCAGACUUGCCAUGGCAGCCCUGGCCGGGCUGGCAGCCGCUCUGAGAAGCGCGCUGGGCGGCUCGCUCCGUCUCCCGUCUUAGUGGGUGCCCAGGGCUAGUCGCUGAGGGGUCCAGGCCAGCGCGUGUGUGCCGGGGGAGACCGGCUCAGCGGGGCCGUUGUCGCUGAGCAGGGGCUCUCCUGUUACACAGUGUCAGGAGCUGCUGGGAAGGCACACUUUGAAAACAAACCGGAACCUUCCAUAACCGGACCUGCAGACCCUCUGGCCUUGGGGUUAGAGUUCUUUCUCUCGGGGAGGAGCUGGGAGUGCCGCGGACUGAGGGGAAGCUGUCUGCGGUGCCCCGCGCCCCGGGGUGGGGUCGCGGCGGGUGAACAGCCGCGCCCUGCCUGACCUCACCGCCGCGGUCACCUCUGGAACGGUCACUGGCCUGCCCCAGAUGACCUACGCACGACUCACCCGGAAGAAAAAAAUGGGAAGCGGAUGUAUGGGGAAAAGCGGAGGGUCUCACUAUGCAGUCCAGGUUGGCCUUGAACUCACCAUGUAGACCAGGCUGGCCUCAAACUCCCAUCGAUCCUCCUGCCUCAGCCUCCUGCCACCACGGCCACGUCAGUGUUGUUUCUGAGAUACAGGGCUCCGUGUUCUGCAGUGACAGUCUCUUCUGCCGGCUCCCUGAUGCUCUGACCAAGUCCACGCCUCUGUCAAAGGUUUGCGCUGCAGUGACAGGUGGCUCAGCCUUCCGACCUGUGCCGCAGCCUGCCUGUGUGCGCGGCUCGCUGGGUGCUUGUCCUCACACGUGGCCUGCUGAGUAGCGCUGAGUAGCUCCGGUUCCCGGAGACCUGUGCCCGGCAGAGUCACCAGGUCACACGGUAACUCCACGUCUUCCCUCUUUGUGUUUUUGCCAGCGGGUUCAGAACGCAGGGCUCGCGCUUGCUAAGCUCGUGCUCUUCUGCAGAGCCACACCUCAGCCCUCAUUUCUGCUCUUUUGUUUUGUUGCGUUGUGUUUGUUUUGUUUAGGGACUGGUCUCAAACUCAGCGAUCCUCCUGCCUCAGCCUCCCCAGCGCUCGGGUACAGGUGUGGCCCACCUCACCUGGCCCCACUGUUUGAGGAACCAUCAGACUUGGGGCAUUCUGCACCCAGAUACCCAAGGCUGUCCCCUCUCAUGCAGUCUGUCACCUCUUCAGACUGCCACGCCCCUCUCCAAACCGCCGUCACCUCCGUCCUCAUCUGCCCACCCUCAGGGCUCAUCGCUCUGCCUCGACCCACAGCCUGGCACUGGGCCCGGUAUGCGGCAGGCGCUCACGAAGCGCAGGCUGACGACCAGGCUGUCAGCGCUGAGGAGCUGCAACAAUGGGCGGAUUGUCACCGUCAGCUCAGGUGGCUGUGACUCAGCUGAGUAAGUGGCCGGCUUCCUCCUGGCUCAGGAAGGAACCAACCCACUGAAGAGCAACGGGGAGGAGGACGUGGUGCUUCCUGUGGGUGACUCAGCGGGUCCCCUCCGGCAGCCCCAGCUCCGUGCCCGAAAUGAGACGGCCAGCCCUCAGUGACGCAGUGCAAACAGGCGCUGAGAACAGGGCUUGGGUCCACGCCUGCAGUCGCCUAGGGAAAGGGCCAGGCUGGUGGGCCAAGCCUUCUGGCUACUUGGCAUUUAGCAGUGUGACCCUUUGUGAGUUAAUCGCAUGGGAGGGGACCGGGUAGAGCAGCUGCCGCACUGGAUGUGGUGCCGCACACCU